UAUGUAGGGGGCUAGCGUUGUCCGGAAUCAUUGGGCGUAAAGAGCGUGUAGGCGGCCCGGUAAGUCCGCUGUGAAAGUCGGGGGCUCAACCCUCGAAUGCCGGUGGAUACUGUCGGGCUAGAGUGCGGAAGAGGCGAGUGGAAUUCCUGGUGUAGCGGUGAAAUGCGCAGAUAUCAGGAGGAACACCAAUGGCGAAGGCAGCUCACUGGGACGGUAUUGACGCUGAGACGCGAAAGCGUGGGGAGCAAACAGG
rnacentral:rRNA from 1 species